GUCAUUCCCCGUCCCCGCGGCUCCACCACCACCACCUCUGCCCUCUCUCCACUCCCGCCGCCCGCCUCGCUUCCACUCCCGCUUCCGCUCCCAUCCCAGGCGAGCCUCACCUCCCCGGCGGGGGCGCGACCGACCAGCCGCGAUGGCCGACGCGUACUGGAGGUACGCGGCCGCGGACCCGCGCCAGCAGCAGCAGCAGCCGCCCCCCUCCGCCGCGGCCGGGGCGCACCCGGGCAUGGGCGCCGCCCCGCAGAUGGCGCCCGCCGGGGGCCAGCAGCCCAUGAAGCGCCCCCGGCCCGCCGACUUCUCAGAUGGACCUGGUGCACCUGACAUGACCGGCUAUUAUCCUCGUGAUGAUGAAAGGCCAGGGUAUCGUGCUGCUAGAGACACCGAGUCUCUUAAUGCGUCCUACGAACGUUUUCUGCGUACUGGGCAAAUUCAAUCCUAUGGUGCUGGACCUACUGGAGAACCUAUUAGGCCUGCUGUGGGAGGCAAUGCUGGCUACCCAGUUGAUGAGCGCUCAAUGAUGGCUGCAAGGGGUAUGGAUAGCAGAAAUAUUGGUUAUGGUGGUGGAAUGCCAGAGCCUCCCCUUCCACCUGAUGCCUCAAACACCUUAUACAUUGAAGGCAUUCCUACUGGCUGUACAUGUCGAGAAGUUUCACAUAUCUUCCGGCCAUUUGUUGGCUUCCGUGAAGUUAGGCUUGUAAACAAAGAACCAAAACAUCCUGGCGGUGACCCUAUUGUCCUCUGUUUUGUUGAUUUUGCUGAAGCUACUCAAGCUGCUAUUGCCAUGGAUGCUUUGCAAGAGAGAUGAUUAAUGGGCAAGGCUAUGUGAAAGGGGCCAACAUCUCUAGUAAGAUCAGCUAUAAGUUUGAUGAGCAUGAUCGCAACUCGUCCAAUUUACGCCUGCAGUUUGCUCGUUUUACGGGUCCAAGGGGGAAUUCAGGACCUGGUGGGCCUCGUGGCAGGCGAUAAGUGCUUGGUGUUCGGAUUACCAGGCCUGGUCGACGUCGAAAGGCCAUGAGGGGUUGUUAGUUCGAUUCCAGAGAUGUUACCGCACAGUGAUAGGUUCGUUAGCUUGUGCCCCACGUGGUUCCAGUUAUGCGACCCUGGUCGUGCUAGAUGUCUUCUAGACAGAAUAGACUACAGAAGGUUAAAACGUUUGUGCCAUACCUGUCGACGUAAUGCCUGUUGCCGAGUUGUUUGUAAUGUGCUGAUUUGUAUCUCGAGGCAGUUUUGCCGUUUAAUCCGUGGAUCUGACGAAUGCUGGCCUGGCUGCUACAUUUGAGAGCUUGCAUAUUUCUCCCAUCUCGCAUAAAGGCUUCGUAGCCUGUAUUUCAUGUCUA